UCAAGGAAAUAAGGGCUUACGGGGGAUACCUAGGUAUUCAGAGGCGAAGAAGGACGCGGUUACCGGCGAAACGCUUCGGGGAGCUGGAAACAAGCUAUAAUCCGUAGAUAUCCGAAUGAGGAAACUUUUUAAACUAUCUACCGAAUUCAUAGGUAGAAAAGAGCGAACCUAGCGAAUUGAAACAUCUUAGUAGCUAGAGGAAAAGAAAGUAAAAACGAUUCCCUUAGUAGCGGCGAGCGAACUGGGAGAAGCCUAAACUUUUUCCUUAAAUACAAAUUUAAGAAAAAAGAGUUGUGGGACAAUUAAAAACGAAUCGUAAUUUUAAGUUAGAUGAAUUAGUUGGAAUACUAAAUCAUAGAAAGUGACAAUCUUGUAGUCGAAAACUUAAAGCUAUUUAAAUUGUAUCCCGAGUAGCAUGGGGCACGUGAAAUCCCGUGUGAAUCCGCGAGGACCACCUCGUAAGGCUAAAUACUACUGAAUAACCGAUAGUGAAACAGUACCGUGAGGGAAAGGUGAAAAGAACCCCGGGAGGGGAGUGAAAAGAACAUGAAACCGUAAGCUUACAAGCAGUAGAAGGACGACUUAUAACGUCUGCCUGCGUGCCUGUUGAAGAAUGAGCCGGCGACUUGUAUUUGGUGGCAUGGUUAAGGUAAGAAAUACCGGAGCCAUAGUGAAAGCGAGUCUGAAUAGGGCGUUAUGUCACCAAUUACGGACCCGAACCCGGAUGAUCUAACCAUGACCAGGAUGAAGCUUCGGUAAUACUAAGUGGAGGUCCGAACUGACUGAUGUUGAAAAAUCAGCAGAUGAGUUGUGGUUAGGGGUGAAAUGCCAAUCGAAUUCGGAGCUAGCUGGUUCUCCCCGAAAUGUGUUUAGGCGCAGCGGUUAGUGUUAUAGCUUAGGGGUAAAGCACUGUUUCGGUGCGGGCUGGUAAUUCGGUACCAAAUCGACGCAAACUCUGAAUACUAAGUGUAUAGCUAACCAGUAAGACUAUGGGGGAUAAGCUCCAUUGUCAAGAGGGAAACAGCCCAGAUCACCAGCUAAGGCCCCUAAAUAAUUGCUAAGUGAUAAAGGAGGUGGGAAGACUCAGACAACCAGGAGGUUUGCUUAGAAGCAGCAAUCCUUUAAAGAGUGCGUAAUAGCUCACUGGUCGAGUAAUCCUGCGCCAAAAAUGAAUGGGACUAAGUAAUUUGCCGAAGCUGUGAGAUAUUAAAAAAAUAUAUAUUAUAUCGGUAGGGGAGCGUUCUGUUAUAGAUUGAAGCGUUAGCGUAAGCGGGCGUGGACGAAACAGAAGUGAGAAUGUCGGCUUGAGUAGCGAAAACAUAGGUGAGAAUCCAAUGCCCUGAAAACCUAAGGUUUCCUCCGGAAGGCUCGUCCGCGGGGGGUAAGUCAGGACCUAAGGCGAGGCUGAAAAGCGUAGUCGAUGGACAAUAGGUUUUAUUCCUAUACUAUUCUUUAUUGACAACGAGGGACGAAGAAAGCUAAACUAGCCAACUAAUGGUUAUUGGUUUAAAUGUACAAGGUGUUGAGAAGUAGAGAAAAUACUUUGAGCUAAGUCAUGAAUACGGAAUAACGUGCGCGUUAUAUGAAGUAGUUGAUGUUAUACUUCCAAGAAAAGCUUGCACUGUCAUAAAUAAAGAAUACCUGUACCCUAAACCGACACAGGUAGGUUGGUAGAGUAUACCAAAGGGCGCGAGAUAACUCUCUCUAAGGAACUCGGCAAAAUAGCCCUGUAACUUCGGGAAAAGGGGUACCUUUUAGGUUGCAAUAACAAGGUCCAAGCGACUGUUUACCAAAAACACAGGUCUCCGCUAAGUUGUAAAACAACGUAUGGGGGCUGACGCCUGCCCAGUGCCGGAAGGUUAAAGAAGUUGGUUAGUUUAUGACGACGCUAAUAACUGAAGCCCCGGUGAACGGCGGCCGUAACUAUAACGGUCCUAAGGUAGCGAAAUUCCUUGUCGGGUAAGUUCCGACCUGCACGAAUGGCAUAAUGAUGGCGGCGCUGUCUCCAGCAGAGACUCAGUGAAAUCGAAAUCGCAGUGAAGAUGCUGUGUACCCGCGGCUAGACGGAAAGACCCCGUGAACCUUUACUACAGCUUUACAUUGAACUUUGACCUUACCUGUGUAGGAUAGGUGGGAGGCUUUGAAGCAGGCACGCCAGUGUCUGUGGAGCCAUCCUUGAAAUACCACCCUGGUAAUGUUGGGGUUCUAACUCAAGCUUAACAGAGCUGAGGACAAUGUAUGGUGGGUAGUUUGACUGGGGCGGUCUCCUCCUAAAGAGUAACGGAGGAGUACGAAGGUGCGCUCAGAACGGUCGGAAAUCGUUCGAAGAGUAUAAAGGCAAAAGCGCGCUUAACUGCGAGACCCACAAGUCGAGCAGAUACGAAAGUAGGUCUUAGUGAUCCGGUGGUUCUGUAUGGAAGGGCCAUCGCUCAACGGAUAAAAGGUACUCUGGGGAUAACAGGCUGAUACCGCCCAAGAGUUCAUAUCGACGGCGGUGUUUGGCACCUCGAUGUCGGCUCAUCUCAUCCUGGGGCUGAAGCAGGUCCCAAGGGUAUGGCUGUUCGCCAUUUAAAGAGGUACGCGAGCUGGGUUUAGAACGUCGUGAGACAGUUCGGUCCCUAUCUACCGUGGGCGUUGGAAAUUUGAGAGGAUCUGCUCCUAGUACGAGAGGACCAGAGUGGACGAACCUCUGGUGUUUCGGUUGUGACGCCAGUCGCAUUGCCGAGUAGCUAUGUUCGGAUGGGAUAACCGCUGAAAGCAUCUAAGCGGGAAGCCCACCUUAAGAUUAGAUUUCCCUAAAGAGCCGUUGUAGACUACGACGUUGAUAGGUUGGGUGUGGAAGCAUAGUGAUAUGUGUAGCUAACCAAUACUAAUUGCUCGUUUGGCU
rnacentral:rRNA from 1 species